GACGAACGCUGGCGGCGUGCUUAACACAUGCAAGUCGAACGGAAAGGCCCUGCUUGCAGGGUACUCGAGUGGCGAACGGGUGAGUAACACGUGGGUGAUCUGCCCUGCACUUCGGGAUAAGCCUGGGAAACUGGGUCUAAUACCGGAUAGGAGCCAUUUUUAGUGUGAUGGUUGGAAAGUUUUUUUCGGUGUAGGAUGAGCUCGCGGCCUAUCAGCUUGUUGGUGGGGUAAUGGCCUACCAAGGCGGCGACGGGUAGCCGGCCUGAGAGGGUGGACGGCCACAUUGGGACUGAGAUACGGCCCAGACGCCUACGGGAGGCAGCAGUGGGGAAGAUUGCACAAUGGGCGCAAGCCUGAUGCAGCGACGCCGCGUGGGGGAUGACGGCCUUCGGGUUGUAAACUCCUUUCGCUAGGGACGAAGCUUUUUGUGACGGUACCUAGAUAAGAAGCACCGGCUAACUACGUG
rnacentral:rRNA from 1 species